UACGUAGGGGGCAAGCGUUAUCCGGAUUUACUGGGUGUAAAGGGUGCGUAGGCGGAGUGUCAAGUCAGCGGUAAAAUUUCGGGGCUCAACCUCGUCGUGCCGUUGAAACUGACACCCUUGAGUGAGUGAGAAGUAAGCGGAAUGCGUGGUGUAGCGGUGAAAUGCAUAGAUAUCGCGCAGAACUCCGAUUGCGAAGGCAGCGUACCGGCGCCAGACUGACGCUGAGGCACGAAAGCGUGGGGAUCGAACAGG
rnacentral:rRNA from 1 species